UACGUAGGGUGCAAGCGUUGUCCGGAAUUAUUGGGCGUAAAGAGCUCGUAGGCGGUUUGUUGCGUCGGCUGUGAAAUCCCGAGGCUCAACCUCGGGUCUGCAGUCGAUACGAGCAAACUAGAGUGUUGCAGGGGAGACUGGAAUUCCUGGUGUAGCGGUGAAAUGCGCAGAUAUCAGGAGGAACACCGGUGGCGAAGGCGGAUCUCUGGGCCGAUACUGACGCUGAGGAGCGAAAGUGUGGGGAGCGAACAGG
rnacentral:rRNA from 1 species